rnacentral:lncRNA from 1 species
AAUGACAUAAUUCAAGGUAAUCACAAGUGCCGGUUUCGGUGUCAUGUCGGACGUAAUCGCUAAUCUCAGAAAACUGUAAUUAGUUGUUUUUAAUUAUAGUGCCCUAAUCAAUUUUGUGAGAUCUAGUUGUGCUUCUAGUUAGGUUAUCAGUAUUUGUGAUGUUAUCCGUUGUUUUCUUUCAGAUCUAGUUUUGUUUCUAACAAUUUUUUUCGUUUACUAUAUACCCUAGAUAAUUUAAUAUUAAAUUAAAA